CCUACGGGUGGCUGCAGUGGGGAAUAUUGCACAAUGGGGGAAACCCUGAUGCAGCGAAGCCGCGUGGGCGAAGAAGUAUUUCGGUAUGUAAAGCCCUAUCAGCAGGGGAGAAGAAAUGACGGUACCUGACGAAGAAGCACCGGCUAAAUACGUGCGAGCAGCCGCGGUAAUACGUAUGGUGCAAGCGUCAUCCGGAUUUACUGGGUGUAAAGGGAGCGCAGGCGGCACGGCAAGCCUGAUGUGAAAGCCCGCGGCCCAAACGCGCGACUGCAGUGGGAACUACCGGGCUGGAGUGCCGGAGAGGUAGGCGGAAUGCGUGGUGUAGCGGUGAAAUGCGUAGAUAUUAGGAGGAACACCGGUGGCGAAGGCGGCCUACUGGAGGGUAACUGACGCUGAGGCUCGAAAGCGUGGGGAGCGAACAGGAUUAGAUACCCCAGUAGUC
rnacentral:rRNA from 1 species